rnacentral:rRNA from 1 species
AUUGAACGCUGGCGGCAUGCCUUACACAUGCAAGUCGAACGGUAACAGAUCUUCGGAUGCUGACGAGUGGCGAACGGGUGAGUAAUACAUCGGAACGUGCCCGAUCGGGGGGGAUAACGAAGCGAAAGCUUUGCUAAUACCGCAUACGAUCUACGGAUGAAAGCAGGGGACCGCAAGGCCUUGCGCGAACGGAGCGGCCGAUGGCAGAUUAGGUAGUUGGUGGGAUAAAAGCUUACCAAGCCGACGAUCUGUAGCUGGUCUGAGAGGACGACCAGCCACACUGGGACUGAGACACGGCCCAGACUCCUACGGGAGGCAGCAGUGGGGAAUUUUGGACAAUGGGCGAAAGCCUGAUCCAGCCAUGCCGCGUGCAGGAUGAAGGCCUUCGGGUUGUAAACUGCUUUUGUACGGAACGAAAAGACUCUGGUUAAUACCUGGGGUCCAUGACGGUACCGUAAGAAUAAGCACCGGCUAACUACGUGCCAGCCGCCGCGGUAA